GCUUUUGUACACACCGCCCGUCGCUACUACUGAUUGAAUGAUUUGGUGAGGUCUUCGGACUGGUGCGCGGCUUCGACUCUGUUCGUAGCCGAUGUUUCUGGAAAGAUGACCAAACUUGAUUAUUUAGAGGAAGUAAAAGUCGUAACAAGGUAGGCGAACCUGUGGAAGGAUCAUUA
rnacentral:rRNA from 1 species